rnacentral:rRNA from 1 species
CCCUUAGAUGUCCUGGGCCGCACGCGCGUUACACUGAUGCAUUCAACGAGCUUAUAACCUUGGCCGAGAGGCCUGGGCAAUCUUGUUAACGUGCAUCGUGAUAGGGAUAGAUUAUUGAAAUUAUUAAUCUUGAACGAGGAAUUCCUAGUAAACGCAGAUCAUCAAUCUGCAUUGAUUACGUCCCUGCCCUUUGUACACACCGCCCGUCGCACCUACCGAUUGAGUGGUCCGGUGAAUAAUUCGGACUGAGGAUUUAGGCAGUUUCUGUCUUUAUCUUCGGGAAGUCUAGUGAACCUUAUCACUUAGAGGAAGGAGAAGUCGUAACA